UCUCGUCAUUGUUACGCUCGAGUUUCCAAGUGCAGAUUCCGAAGAAACAAACAGAAAACACAGAACCGGAUCACUCAUCAAUAGAGGUCUUCUCAAUCCAUAUACCUACUUCUCUCUCUCUCUCUCUCUCUGAACAUACACUCAAUUUGUAAAGUUUCAACCUUGCGAAGUUUAACGAGCCCUAGGGCUUCCAUUCUGAUCCCUCAAAUUUAUUCACUCGGAGAACGUACUCUACAUGGUAACUAUAUAUUCACUUGUAUACGUAUCCUGAUUUCUAGGUUUCAAUUGUACGUUUUGCUGGGGUUAAUUGUUCUAUUCCCCCCCUCCCCCCAGAAAAUUGAAGGUGUUCUGUUUUUUUUUUUUGGAUAUAACGUAUUCAAAAAGUCUACAAACACAACUGCGUCAGCAGCCGAAUUGCUCCUAUUGUGUUUUGUUUGAAGCAAUGGAGUUAACUGAAUAGCGUGUUCAUUUCGGAAUUCUGCUCCCGUAUGACAAGCUCCCGGGACUUUAUGGUUUACUAAAUAUCUUGUGCUAGCAAGGUCCUCGCAGAAAAAUUACCGGAGUUUGAUCAACACAUUAUUUAAGUUUUGCUUUUUCAGUCUAUGAGAUGUAUGGUCAGGGUUCCCAUGCACCUAUGCCUCCAUUCCAACAGCGUCCCCUUGCUCCUCCACCGCCUCCUUUGCAACCUACCCUAUCGUCCUCACAACCCUCUUCAAUACAACAAGGUCCACCUAUUCCACAUAACGUAGGUUAUUCUGGCUCCUUCUUAUAUCAGCAUGCCCCAUCACCCCCAGUGCCACCUACUCAAGUCCCAAAUAGUGGAUUGUUAAAUUCAGGUCUUUCUUGCUUGCCGCCACCUCCACCCCUACCCCAGCAAGUCCGUGGAAGCACUUCUGUGCCACAUCCAUAUCCAUCUUCUCAGCAGACCUCUCAAUGGACCCAGAAUACCCAUCAUAUCCUAAGAUCUCUCCCUCCUCCUAUUAGUCCCUCUCCCUCCUCCUAUUUGUCUACACUUCCUUCACAAGGACAAACUCCAUAUAGAGGUCCAAUUCGUCUGCCGCCACCUCCUCCCACUUCUAGUUUCUUCACUGCUGCUCCAUUUGGAUCUUUUGUGCAUUCAGCACAUCAGGAUUCUAAUGUGCCUGUGGGUCCCAUGAUGCCCCCGCCGCCGCCACCCCCACCCCCCUCUUCUCCUCCACCUCUUCCAUCUUCUCCACCGCCACCUACCUCUCCCCUUCGUUCUUUCGGAAUCCUUUCGUCUACACCUCUUGCUAUGGCUUCUGACUUGUCACACAAUUCCGGGUCAGGCCCAAUUUCCAAUCUUGCUGUCUCUGAAAAGCUGGCUUCCACUACUGUUGAUACAGUUGUGGUUACCACAGAAAUCAGGGUAGAUGGAUUUGAGAAUGAUUACGAUAAAAAUCCUGAAGGCAGCACAAGCUAUCAGGCGGCUUCCAUUGAGGAAGAGGAUUUAUACAAUGUGGAAGGUACAAAACUGGAUCUUCCUUCACCUCCUCCGAAACCAGCAGAAGAGAAAGUUGGGCAGAAAAUUGUUGGUCUAUGCCGUGACAUUGCAAGGAAUGGUCCUAGUUUUGAAGCUGACGCUCGUAAGAAAGAGUGUGGGAAUCCAGAGUUCAAUUUUUUGUUUGGUGGCGAGCCAGGAAGUGAAGCUGCAAUUGCACAUGAAUAUUUUGGAUGGAUGAAAAACAAAUAUAUUUUGGCACGUAAAUUCCAAUACGAGGAGAGAAAUUCAGAUUUAAGGCUGUCAGAUAAGGACACUGCAAAACAAACGAAUCCUUUGGUGGAGGCAGGAUUAUCUCAUUCAGCUUCUGAUUCAGAUAUGGAUAUGGAAGAUGAUAUCACCCAGCCAAAUGAAGAGCAGCAAGCUUGCAACUCAUUUGAAGGUCUAAACAACGAGGCUGUGAUAAUACCCAAAGAGUUUCCAGGGAAAUUACAUACACCCCCAAGGGCAAUUGAACAGAGUCUUGCUAAGGAUGCUAUACCAGGGUCCUCAGGACUGACUGAUCGAGGAAAAGGUUCCAUGCACUUCCCUGAUCAUGAUUUCUUUACCAAUAGAAGGUCACUUCCGAAAGUUGAUUGCUCUGUCAUGAAUUCUGCUGGAGCUGCCGAGUGCCCCUCAGACAGCAAUUUAGCGAAACUUUCUAUUCCUCCCCUAGAAGAUUCAAGUCAAUGCAAUGCGUCAGCAGUUAGUUCUGAGAAAAUUCCUGGUGCACUCAUCAAAAGUGUGAGCCCUUUCAGACUCCUACAAGACUAUUCUUCUGAUGAUAGUUCAGAAGAUGAUGUCAAGCCUUGUCUUGAAGAUGCCAGCCCCGUACCCGCCUCACCAUCAACUACAGUAGGUGGUUCAAAUUUGCUAGGGGACCUAAGAUCUAACGUACGAGCAGCUAUCAGAUCCAAGGGUCUCUCAAGUGCUCAUAUUGCAUUUGGGACGUCCUCUGAAUCUGUUGUGCCAUGUUCUCUCGGCAUGCUGUCAAAUGCUAUGGAUUUGUCCCCAGAAUCACGAAGGAGUUAUACAGAUGCUAAUAUAACAUCUAUUGCAGCUGUCAAAACUGAAGAACUUGUUGAAAAUAAUGUCGAGAAUCAAGACUCUAUUGAAAAUGCUGUUUACCCUGAGGCUCUGGAACCGAACAAUCCCUUGGAUGGUAUUCGUGAUGUUGCUCCUGAGAGUAAGUCUCUGCAUCAGAAGGAAGAUGUUAAAUAUACAUCUGCUCUCCCAAAAGUUGACGAGUUUGGGAGAUUAGUCAGAAAAGGUGCUAGUGACAGUGACUCAGAUGAGCGGUAUACUGGAAGGCGUAGUAAGAGAGGGAGAAGUGUGAGCAGAAGCCGAUCUCCGCAUGAUAGGAGGAGGAGGAGGAGGAGUCCACUGAGAAGAAAGGAGAAGCGAAGCUGGUCUCGCAGCUGGUCUCCCAAAAAAGAAAGAAGCAGGAGCAAGUCUCCCUCUUAUAGGCGUGGGGCUGAAUCAAGUGGUGACAAGAUGAGAAGAGACAAGGGUCAGCUUCCACAGUGUCUUGACUUUCUUCGAGGAAGGUGCUACCGUGGAGCAUUUUGUCGGUAUAUGCACCAUGAAUCUGAAAAGACUGAUGGUGGGAGACGCUACAGGAGCAAACAGCAGGAUGCAGAAGUUCCACCUGUUUCAGGGACUUCUGGUUCCCUUGAAGAGCUUGAGAAAUCAGUGGAUAGAGAAAAAAUAUUAGUUCCUGUGCAGCAGUCUGGACAAACUAUAGUUUCUGAUCAAGAGGAUGAAUCAGUGGACAUCGUGCAUGAAUCUCAAGAUAUUAAAGAAGAGACACUGGAACCCACCGCGGAGAUUCUUGAUGAGGAAAACUGCACUAAAAUAGUGGAAACUGUUCAUCCGUUGGAUGGCUCUCCCUCUUCUCAUGUGGUAGCAUCUUCACAGGAAAAUUUGGUGAUUCUACAAUCCCAAGCUAAUCCCUCUCUUCCAGUGCUUCAGAAUGCUUAUCACCAAUCUGUGGAUGUGGGUGACUCUUCUAUGUCAGGUUCUUUGCUCAUUCAGACGUCAUCAACUUUCCAAAAUCAGCCUCCAGUUAGUGCACCUCAUUUAGAUGAAAUAUCUCCGAUUCAUUCCUAUCCUGGUACAAGUUCUGUUAGCCAACCAGUUGCAUACGACAGUUUUUCAUCCCAAACUUUGCCUCCAAAGGAGUUACUUCCACCCGUUAUUCCAUUUCUUCCCUCUCUUUCACAAGGCACAAUAACCCCUUCGAUGCCACAGCUACCGGGGGAAAUAAUGCAGCCACCUUCAAACUUUUCCCCCUUUUACCCUCCCAUGGAGAACUGUCCUCCCAAUCAAGUUCCGUUGCAGAACCAGCGUUCUUAUUUUCCUGUUCCACCAAGCUCCUCUUGGCCCCUGCCACCUCCACCAGCAUUGCCACCACGGCCGCCAUUUGUGGACAAUUCAACAGUAACUUCAGCGAUUGCCACACAAGGUUAUCCUUGGUUACAAUUGCAGCCGAAUCAGCUCCCUCCAAGGCCUUCCUUACACAUGGGAGAUUUCAAACUAGAUCCUCUACCUAUGGUCAACCCAAUGAGUCAACCAUUCGGUGGCCCUUCAUUUGCUCAGGGAAACAUAUCUCUUCAACAUGUUCCUUCGACGAGGGAUUCUGCAUCUUUUCAAAAUUACCCACACUUGCAGCAGCAACGAGCUCUCUAUGGACGACCGCAGCCUGGGGCUGAUAGUCAUUCUGUAAAUCUAGGUGAUUAUGGGAAUAAUAGUUCUACCAUGACAAGGACUACAGAUCUUGUUGACAGGAACCAGGUAUCUAAUCUGUCCGACUUUGGAGGGUCAAGAAUUUCAAACCACUACAAUCCUUUUGCGUCCACUUUUGACCUGCCACUAACAUCCAAAUUCAGCUCCAAUGUUUUGAAACAAGAAAAAGACAGGCCCUGCCUAUUCGAUGGUUCUUACAGUUUGAGCCAUGUUCGACCUGAUGGACCUGGUGACCAGUAUGAUCCACUUUUUGACAGCAUUGAGCCGUCUUCAAACUCAUCCAAGAAGUUUGAUCGCGAUCAGAGGCGUGAAACCACGCUGAGCUGCAGUGGGUCCCACAAGCCAAUAGACGUGGAAGAAAACAACAAGCGAAAAGAGGUUGAUGCUGUUGCCAUAACCACAUCUAUAAAAAGUGAAAAUGAUGAAUGUGGGGACACGGCAGGUGAAGAAGUGGGUGAUGUCGAUGACGUGAGUGCAAGCAAUCCCCUUGACGAAGGAAAUACAGCCGCAGGGGAGAUUGAGAUUGAUCAGAUUAAGACACCAGGGAAAAGAAAGAGGAGCAAAGAUUCUAGAUCGAUGAAACAUUUCAAAGUAGCCAUUGCAAAUUUUGUGAAGGGGGAGCUGAAAACAUCCUGGCGGCAGGGUAAUUUGAGUAAGGAAGCAUUUAAGAUAAUUGUCAAGAAGAUUGUUGACAAGGUGUCUGGAGCUAUGAAGAGCCAUCAUGUACCCAAGUCUCAGUCAAAGAUAAAUCAUUACAUUGACUCAUCGCAGCGGAAACUGUCUAAACUUGUGACGGGCUAUCUUAAUAAGUAUGCUAAAGGAUAAAAUUUGAGGUCUGCUGUUGUUUCAGUCCGUGAUGGAAGACAAAGAUUCAAGCUUUACAGAACUACUUUUGCUGGCGGACUGUGGAAAGCAGAAGCAUUUGGUUUUGUGAGGGAAUAUGAGGAUUUGCUGAGCUGCUGAAGUUAGCAGUGAUAGUAGACUCAUAAUGCUGUGGGGCCGCGGCACAUUACGAUAUGAUCUUGAAGACGGGAGGAAAUUGAUUCCAACCUCAGCAAAAAUAAAAUUCUGAAGAUGCUCCACAGUCCAGACCUUGUGUAAUUUUAUGUGAUGCAUUUUCGAUCAAUAUGAGUUUUGAUAAUAUCGAUUUCAAGGAGAGAGCUUGUCGAUUAAUUGAAUGGGAGGUUGAAUCAUUAGCAAAUCUUUUUCUUGACAUUCAUGUCUUAUGUCCAUGUCUCUUAUUUAUUACUGAGCGCUGAUCUCCCCUAUUGUAAUUAUGCAAUUUGUUGUCAGGCAUUGUUUACUAAACGUACCAAGGAAAAUUGAAGGGAAAUUUAAGCCAUUGAAGCAGAAUUUUAGAUUC